GGGCAAGAAGAAAGUGAGUUCCGCCUCUUUCUUGGGCGACUGGGUACUUCCGUUGACAAAAGGUGACGUGAGUUCCUUUCAGCGUUUAGACGCUAGAACUACCACCGAGCCAGACUCGGGUAGACGGUACGUUGACCAGUAAGUUUCUGAGGGUGAGAAAUACUGAGUACUUCGAAUCGGGCCCUGAAACACCCAUAUACACUCAGAACUUUAAAAUAAUGACUUCAGUUUUGGAACGCAGAGGAGUCUGGCCUUUUCGCGGUCUUUGACUUGCCUGUGUCAUUGGCUGAAAAAGUUAUCAAUUUGAACGUAGCUCCGCGUCCACCCCAGGCAAUCCUGGGAUUUGUGGUCCUGGACGCAUAUGUCCCAUAGCUUUGAAUGUGAUUGUUGUUGCUGCUUCUCCAUGUUAACAACCGCUGAUAGUUACUGUGGUUUUCUUGUUUUCCGUUGUGCUUUCUUAUCCUUUCGCUUAUCAGCAGUAUUAAAGCCAAAGGACACUUAGGAAAACUAGAAGGUCUUCAUGUAUGUAAAGUUUUACACAGUGAAGUUACACAGUGUGUGGAAUUCAAGCAUCCUGUUUAUAGCAGGAGAGCUAUGUCAACAAAGCAAACAUGUGAAACAGUCCUGCUGCAGAGUAGACGUGGAUCUGCCUUUCUCAUUGACUAUCAAGAGCCAAGAGAGAUGGGUCACCUUUCACUUAUUAAUUCUAUUCAAUCCCGAUGUCAUAUUCUCACCAUCUCACCAAAUAGAUAAAUCAUUCUUGCAUUCACAGAGGUGAAGAGAAGACAGCAGCAUCUGCCUAAAACUUCCCAAAGAAUGAAAGUUUUGGCAGACAUUCCUAUCUUACUGGCUGAGGCAAAAUGUACAAGAAAAAGAGAAUGAGUUCCCUCAAAAACAGUUGAAAAUCCCAAAGGCAGCUAUUUACAAAUUUAAUAUACAAGUUCAAUAGCUUUCCCAUAAAUAGAAAAGACACAGUUAGAAAGUAACUUCGUUAACUUACUGUGUAACUUACUGUGUAAGCAGAAACUUACACAACAUUGUGAAGAAUUACACUCCAAUUAAAGAAAAGAAAAC
rnacentral:lncRNA from 1 species